CGAACGCUGGCGGCGUGCUUACCACAUGCACGUCGACCGAUGACGACCGAGCUUGCUCGGUCUGAUUAGUGGCGAACGGGUGAGUAACACGUGAGCAACCUGCCCUUCACUCUGGGAUAACCUCGGGAAAUCGGGGCUAAUACCGGAUAUGAGCUCCUGUCGCAUGGCGGGUGUUGGAAAGUUUUUCGGUGAAGGAUGGGCUCGCGGCCUAUCAGUUUGUUGGUGAGGUAGUGGCUCACCAAGGCGAUGACGGGUAGCCGGCCUGAGAGGGCGACCGGCCACACUGGGACUGAGACACGGCCCAGACUCCUACGGGAGGCAGCAGUGGGGAAUAUUGCACAAUGGGCGAAAGCCUGAUGCAGCGACGCCGCGUGAGGGAUGACGGCCUUCGGGUUGUAAACCUCUUUCAGCAGGGAAGAAGCGAAAGUGACGGUACCUGCAGAAGAAGCGCCGGCUAACUACGUG
rnacentral:rRNA from 1 species